rnacentral:lncRNA from 1 species
AAUAAGUAAGAAGAAAUUUAAUAAAAAACAAUUCUAUAUUACCCUAAAUGAAACUCAAUUAAACCUUGGAUGUAAUAAUUAAUAAGAAGAAGGAAAAAAGUCAAACUCAAUUAUAUAUUGAGAUAAUCAACUUCAUUAAUUAAAACUAUGGAUGUAAUAAUUAAUAAAUAGGAAAAAUAUAAUCAAACUCAAUUCUAUAUUACAUUAAAAUAACAAACAUAGCAUUGUAAUGGUUAUAAUAUGACCAUAGAAUUUUAUUACAAAAUAAUCCAUUUCUAGUUAUUUUCUCUCUCUCCC